UUCAAGUGCUGCCAUUGCAGGUGUUUGC
rnacentral:sRNA from 1 species